rnacentral:lncRNA from 1 species
GCUGCGAUUGUUGAAGUUUAUAUACAUGUUUAUUGGUUUUGAAUUUUUGUAUGAUGGCGUAGCCUCUAUUUCUUGAAUAAAUGUAUUAUUCGCAUGUUUAAUUGCUUUAAUAGAAAUAGGAGUGUUACAAUAUCCAAUGGGGAUGAGAAAUUGAAUCUCAUCCCCGUCUCCAAUGGGUUCGGGUAAUCCCGCCUCAUCCCCUUCCCCGCAGUGAAUCAAUUUUUUUUUAAUAGAAUAUAAUAUAGCUAUAAAUAGUACAAAAUUCAUGGUGACAUCAUUAGAGACAUCCAUUGCAUGAAUAGAGGCGACUAAUUCAUUUUUGGGAAGUUGUGUUGAACUGGAUGGAAUAUUAGUAGACUAAUUACUUAGACACCCACUCUUACUCUUUCCGGUUGGACAUGAUAACUUGGAUUGUGAAACUGGUGCAUCUGAAUGCAAAAAUUUUAAAUUAUCAAAGAAAGACGGUGAUCACUUGAUUGACCGUUCAAAAUGAUCAUCUUGAGUAGAUUAUCCCUCUUUAGUGAACCUUUGUAUAUAUUUUUUUUGGAGUUGGACACAUUGAGUUUUUUUUUGGGAAAGCAAAUUGACGAAAUUGCAUUUGCAUAUGUACCUUCAUAUUGUAAUCAUAAACGUUAAAUUGGACAUGCAGAGUAUAAUCAUGUGUUAAAAUUCAUAAAAAAAAAAACCAGAAUUUGGUUAUUUCAAAUUUGAGUAAACCACCAAAUUGGUUCAUGUCUUUGUACCAAAUUUUCAAAUUGACCUCUAACUCUAUUAAUAACUCAAAAUGGUCACUUUCUUUGUCAAACGUUUCUCAGAUUGGUCCCUGCCUCUAUUAGUUGUUUUGCAUUUUAAGCCAUUAACGUACCAAAUAAGAUCCAAAAGGCAUUAUUCCAUAAACCAGUAAAUAAUAUCCAAAACACGUUGAAUCGAUAACACUCAAAAUACAAAACAAUUAAUAAAGGCAGAGACCAAUCUAAGAAACAUUUGACAAAGACAGAGACCAUUUUGAAUUAUUAAUAGAGUCAGGGACCAAAUUGAAAAUUUGGUACAAAGACAGUGACCAAUUUGAUGGUUUACUCAUUUCAAAUUCUAUAAUCUGAAAAACCGCAUAACAAAAACAUAUGAGAAACGAAGUCUUCACUUAUUGGACUUCAUUUGGACAUCUUUAAUUUUAGAUAUGAUUUAAAUACCACAUCAAAUCUAAGUUGAUUUGACAAUAAAUCUCAGCACUGCGAUAAACUAAAGAAAGAAAACAAAACUACAUAUGAAAAAUUUCUAAUUAGUAACGACAACAUACAUCUUAAUAAAUUCAAAAAAUAAAAAUAAAUAAACUAUAUCAAAUAAAUCUCAAAAUUGACCAAUGAGUAAAGACAAUUAAAAUAAGUAAAGACAAAAACAAUAAAAAAAAAUACACAUAUGAGGGAUAAUUAUCAAGAUUUUCAAUUAAUACAUAAAGAUAUUAUCAUCUUAUAUUAUUCCUAAAACAAAUUUUAUUACCAUUAUACACUUAUAUUUACUAUUUUGUGAUUUUCGUUGUAUUUCUUUACCAUAUUACAGAUGCAGAGUAUCCAUUGGUAAUGAAUAACUAAUCUCAACACGAAAAUCUUAUUGGUCAUCUUUAAUAGAGUCUCCCUUUCUCAUAUGUAACCCUGAAAUUUGAACAUGCUACUUUAUUUCAGACAUGUGAGUCUAGUUACAGCCAUACC